rnacentral:rRNA from 1 species
GACGAACGCUGGCGGCGUGCCUAACACAUGCAAGUCGAACGGGACUGGGGGCAACUCCAGUUCAGUGGCGAACGGGUGCGUAACACGUGAGGAAUUUGUCUUUCGGUGGGGGAUAGCCGGCCCAACGGCCGGGUAAUACCGCGUACGCUCUUUGGGGGGCAUCCUCCGGAGAGGAAAGCAGCAAUGCGCCGAAAGAGAAUCUCGCGGCCUAUCAGCUAGUUGGUGGGGUCAUGGCUCACCAAGGCGACGACGGGUAGCUGGUCUGAGAGGAUGGCCAGCCACAUUGGGACUGAAACACGGCCCAGACUCCUACGGGAGGCAGCAGUGGGGAAUCUUGCGCAAUGGGCGAAAGCCUGACGCAGCGACGCCGCGUGUGGGAUGACGGCCUUCGGGUUGUAAACCACUGUCGGGAGGGACGAGGCUCUGACGGUACCUCCAAAGGAAGCACCGGCUAACUCUGUGCCAGCAGCCGCCGUAACAC